CUGCGGAAGGAUCAUUAUAGAAAUGCCCCUCUGUUCGCAUGGGUUAUUUUCAAAACCGUGUCUACCUUACCUUUGUUGCUUUGGCGGGCCGCCUUUAGGCGUUGGCUAACGCUAACUGUGCCCGCCAGAGGAUCCAAAAACUCGUUUGUUUAGUGAUGUCUGAGUACUAUAUAAUAGUUAAAACUUUCAACAACGGAUCUCUUGGUUCUGGCAUCGAUGAAGAACGCAGCGAAAUGCGAUAAGUAAUGUGAAUUGCAGAAUUCAGUGAAUCAUCGAAUCUUUGAACGCACAUUGCGCCCCUUGGUAUUCCGAGGGGCAUGCCUGUUCGAGCGUCAUUAUAACCACUCAAGCCUAGCUUGGUAUUGGGGUUCGCCGUCCUGCGGCCCUUAAAAUCAGUGGCGGUGCUGCCUAGCUCUAAGCGUAGUAAUUUUCUCGCUACAGGGUCCGGGUGGUUACUUGCCAAAACCCUUCACUUCUCACGGUUGACCUCGGAUCAGGUAGGGAUACCCGCUGAACUUAAGCAUAUCAAAA
rnacentral:rRNA from 1 species